rnacentral:rRNA from 1 species
CAGUAGCCGCGGGAAUACGUAGGUGGCAAGCGUUGUCCGGAAUUACUGGGCGUAAAGCGAGCGCAGGCGGUUAGAUAAGUCUGAAGUUAAAGGCUGUGGCUUAACCAUAGUACGCUUUGGAAACUGUUUAACUUGAGUGCAAGAGGGGAUAGUGGAAUUCCAUGUGUAGCGGUGAAAUGCGUAGAUAUAUGGAGGAACACCGGUGGCGAAAGCGGCUCUCUGGCUUGUAACUGACGCUGAGGCUCGAAAGCGUGGGGAGCAAACAGGAUUAGAUACCCCAGUAGUCCCUGUCUCUUAUACC